rnacentral:rRNA from 1 species
UUACGUUAACCUUACCGUACGGUUUAGGUUAGUACUACGUAGGUCGGUCCUACGGAAGGUAGUAACGGAACCGUACGUACGGCCGGACGGACGGUUAACUUAACUAACUAGUCGAACGUACGGUAGGGACGGAGUCAAGGUACACGAAAGUGUAUUGUUGGCGACCGGCGGACGGGUGAGUAAUAGGUAGGUAACCUACCUCAUACUGAGGCAUAGCUGGGAGAAAUUCCAGGUAAUUCCUCAUGAGGUUAUAUGACACAUGUGAUAUAAUCAAAGGUAUCGCAAGGUACUGGUAUGAGAUGGGCUUACUGACCAUUAGCUAGUUGGUGGGAUAAGAGCUCACCAAGGCGAAGAUGGUUAGGGGUUUUGAGAGAGAGAUCCCCCACAUUGGAACUGAGAUACGGUCCAGACUCCUACGGGAGGCAGCAGUAGGGAAUAUUGGGCAAUGGGCGGAAGCCUGACCCAGCCAUGCCGCGUGAGGGAAGACGGCCUUCGGGUUGUAAACCUCAGUUAUACGGGACGAAGGAAGUGACGGUACCGUAAGAGAAAGCCACGGCUAACUACGUG